AAAAUUUUAGGUUAAUUUAAACUCUAAACCUUCAAAGUUUACAAUAUUUAUUUAAAUAAAUUUUA
rnacentral:tRNA from 1 species